GACGAACGCUGGCGGCGUGCUUAACACAUGCCAGUCGAACGGAAAGGCCUGCUUUCCCUUGUGGAUUGCGGGUACUCGAGUGGCGAACGGGUGAGUAACACGUGAGUGAUCUGCCCCCAACUUGGGUAUAAGCCUGGGAAACUGGGUCUAAUUCCCGAUAGGACUGCAGGGUGGUGCCUGUGGUGGAAAACGAUUUUCUAGUGGUUGGGGAUGAGCUCGCGGCCUAUCAGCUUGUUGGUGGGGUAAUGGCCUACCAAGGCGGCGACGGGUAGCCGGCCUGGGAGGGUGGACGGCCACAUUGGGACUGAGAUACGGCCCAGACUCCUACGGGAGGCAGCAGUGGGGAAUAUUGCACAAUGGGCGGAGGCCUGAUGCAGCGACGCCGCGUGGGGGAUGACGGCCUUCGGGUUGUAAACUCCUUUCGACCGCGAGGAAGCCACCUGGUUGGAAGGGUGGUGACGGUAGUGGUAGAAGAAGCACCGGCUAACUACGUG
rnacentral:rRNA from 1 species